AUAUUUACCUGGCAGCAGGGGGAUACCACAGUCAAGAAGGAGGUUUCCCCAGCAUGAGGCUAUUGCAUUGCAUUUAGACUGCAUUGUCCCCUGUGAUUCCCCAAGUGUGGCAAACUCAGCUGCAUAAUUUAUGCUAAUGGAGGACUUCAUUUGCACUUUUUCU